rnacentral:rRNA from 1 species
UACGUAGGAGGCAAGCGUUGUCCGGAAUCACUGGGCGUAAAGCGCGUGUAGGUGGUGGGACAAGUCUGCUGUGAAAGCGCCUGGCUUAACCGGGCGAGGUCGGCGGAAACUGUUCGACUCGAGGACGGUAGAGGGGGGUGGAAUUCCCCGGUGUAGUGGUGAAAUGCGUAGAGAUCGGGAGGAACACCAGUGGCGAAGGCGACUACCUGGCCUGUUCUUGACGCUGAGGCGCGAAAGCUAGGGGAGCAAACGGG